rnacentral:lncRNA from 1 species
CUUUAUGGCUUUGGUGGCUAAGAAUCAAGGUUGAGAUUUUGAAAAUAAUUUUGAAUUUUGCUGAAAAUCAGAUAUGCUAAAAAAAGAAAAAACUUCUCAGUACCCAAGUGUCUACAUAUUUAAUUAUCUCUACAAUUCUUAUGUGGAAUAAGAAAUUUUUAUUGAUGCCCUUACUAUAUUUGAGAUCAUCUAUGACAAUCUCAGAGUAGAAGUGUUCAGCUAUAGAGAAUUCAAUAAAGCUUCCCUUUUCAAACGUAUGCAUUGCAUUUGGAGUGUGUGUUAAGAAAAUUAGAGCCUUAGCAAAUCAGAUGACCUCUCGGUGAAAGUGAAAGUUAUAAAACUAGUGAACAAA